rnacentral:lncRNA from 1 species
UCAGAUUAUCUCAAGGUAAGGUCUUUAGAAACUAAUAGAACAAGAAGUAACUGGAAAUCACUGACUGAAGCUGUCAGAAGUUGGUGCAGGAUAAAUUUCAAGUCACUGAUAAGAUGGAAUGUAGGUGAUAAUACUAAAGAAGACAGAAGACGGAAACUUGGAGAAAAGCCUAUAUUUUCAGGUUUCUGAAGAUCACAGAACUUAACUAAAACAACAUAUUUGUCAUAAGCAAUUAAGAUUUAAGCAUUACUCUAGACUACGGAAUUCUUUUUGGUGUAAAGCAGGUAAAAGCUCUGUCCUGAUUACACACUGACCCGCUUUGGGAUGUGGAAUGCAGGUAACUCAUCAUGAGUCAAGGAAGGAAGAAGAUUCUUUCAGAAAGUUUCAACUAUGACAGAUGAAGGCAGAAAAAAAAAUAUGGAAGGUCAACAUAUUCUUGUUUUGAAAGUACAUUUCCUGUUUUUAGCACAAUUAUCCCUUAGUAUGCUUCAUUUAUCAUAAAGAUGUAAUGUUAAAGGAUUAAUAACUAACAGUCUGGAAUCUUUGAGA